GGGGACAUUGUAGACAUCAAGGG
rnacentral:piRNA from 1 species